rnacentral:rRNA from 1 species
AUUGAACGCUGGCGGCAUGCCUAACACAUGCAAGUCGAGCGGAUGAAGGGAGCUUGCUCCUGGAUUCAGCGUCGGACGGGUGAGGAAUGCCUAGGAAUCGGCCUCGUAGUGGGGGAUAACGUCCGGCAACGGGCACUAAUACCGCAUACGUCCUGAGGGUUAGAUUGGGGGAUCUUCGUACCUCACGCCAUUAGUUCAGCCUAUGGCGGAUUAGCUAGUUGGUGGGGUAAAGGCUUACCAAGGCGACGAUCCGUAACUGGUCUGAGAGGAUGAUCAGUCACACUGGGACUGAGACACGGUCCAGACUCCUACGGGAGGCAGCAGUGGGGAAUAUUGGGCAAUGGGCGAAAGCCUGACGCAGCAAUGCCGCGUGUGUGAAGAAGGUCUUCGGAUUGUAAAGCACUUUAAGUUGGGAGGAAGGGCAGUAAGUUAAUACCUUGCUGUUUUGACGUUACCAAAAGAAUAAGCACCGGCUAACUUCGUG